UACAGAGGUCUCAAGCGUUGUUCGGAUUCAUUGGGCGUAAAGGGUGCGUAGGCGGCGCGGUAAGUCGGGUGUGAAAUCUCGGAGCUUAACUCCGAAACUGCAUUCGAUACUGCCGUGCUUGAGGACUGGGAGAGGAGACUGGAAUUUACGGUGAGCGGUGAAAUGCGUAGAUAUCGUAAGGAAGACCAGGUGGCGAAGGCGGUCGUCUGGACG
rnacentral:rRNA from 1 species